AUUCCGCCUCAGUCACAAUAUUAGCAAGUCCAGUGGCAGAUCCAACUACAGCUCCCACACCUAGACCUGCUGCACCUAACACUGUUGCAGCUGCAACUACUACUGGAGCACUCAUUAUAAAAAGGGUGGUAUUCAGGUCUCUUCUAAAGAACUUUACAAGUGACUUGCUGAAUCCAUCAUCUACAGCUUAUAAAAAUCGAGCUGCAACGAUUAAAGAAGAGCUUACACCUGUUUUCCAGAGUGCAUUCCCUUCUUCAUUUAAGUCCUUGGAAGUGGUGUCAUUCAG